AUAUAUAUAUAGUACUAUUUACGUGCAUGGCAUAAAAUAUAGAAUUAUUCUCUGGAAUUUCCCUUGAACCCAACAUAUUUAAUUCUUUAAUUGGUUGAAAUUGAAAAGCUUUUAUAUCUCAACUAAUCAAUCAAAAGUUGUUGCUUGCAUUUUGUCCCCUGAGUACAAAACCCCCCCUAAUCCUUCCUUCCUUCUUUCCUUCCUUGCUUGCUUAAUUAAGCUAAUCCAAAAAACAAAGUACCAGAAUAGAUCCAAGACUAACCCGGAGACAAACAUGGAAAAGGGCCCUCAAAACAAUCCAUCCAGGUCAACUUGUGAUCAUUUAUGCACAUCAAUCAAGCCCAUGUACAGAGUGGCGCAAAAUACAGCAGCAGCAGCAGCCAUGCAGAGUAGAGCAGGAGAAGGAGAAGGAGCAGAGAGCACAGUUGUUGUUGUUACCACUCACGUAGCAGCAGCGUCACUUUGAAGCGUUACGACACCGAAAUAUCUACACAAACACACACUCACAC
rnacentral:lncRNA from 1 species